GCCUCGGUGGCUCAGUUGGCAGAGCGGCUGACUUGUAAUCAGCAGGUCGGGGGUUCAAAUCCCCCUCGAGGCU
rnacentral:tRNA from 1 species